AGAGUUUGAUCCUGGCUCAGGAUGAACGCUAGCGACAGGCUUAACACAUGCAAGUCGAGGGGCAGCACAGGUAGCAAUACCGGGUGGCGACCGGCGCACGGGUGAGUAACGCGUAUGCAACUUGCCUAUCAGAGGGGGAUAACCCGGCGAAAGUCGGACUAAUACCGCAUGAAGCAGGGGCCCCGCAUGGGGAUAUUUGCUAAAGAUUCAUCGCUGAUAGAUAGGCAUGCGUUCCAUUAGGCAGUUGGCGGGGUAACGGCCCACCAAACCGACGAUGGAUAGGGGUUCUGAGAGGAAGGUCCCCCACAUUGGUACUGAGACACGGACCAAACUCCUACGGGAGGCAGCAGUGAGGAAUAUUGGUCAAUGGGCGUAAGCCUGAACCAGCCAAGUCGCGUGAGGGAUGAAGGUUCUAUGGAUCGUAAACCUCUUUUAUAAGGGAAUAAAGUGCGGGACGUGUCCCGUUUUGUAUGUACCUUAUGAAUAAGGAUCGGCUAACUCCGUGCCAGCAGCCGCGGUAAUACGGAGGAUCCGAGCGUUAUCCGGAUUUAUUGGGUUUAAAGGGUGCGUAGGCGGCCUUUUAAGUCAGCGGUGAAAGUCUGUGGCUCAACCAUAGAAUUGCCGUUGAAACUGGGGGGCUUGAGUAUGUUUGAGGCAGGCGGAAUGCGUGGUGUAGCGGUGAAAUGCAUAGAUAUCACGCAGAACCCCGAUUGCGAAGGCAGCCUGCCAAGCCAUUACUGACGCUGAUGCACGAAAGCGUGGGGAUCAAACAGGAUUAGAUACCCUGGUAGUCCACGCAGUAAACGAUGAUCACUAGCUGUUUGCGAUACACUGUAAGCGGCACAGCGAAAGCGUUAAGUGAUCCACCUGGGGAGUACGCCGGCAACGGUGAAACUCAAAGGAAUUGACGGGGGCCCGCACAAGCGGAGGAACAUGUGGUUUAAUUCGAUGAUACGCGAGGAACCUUACCCGGGCUUAAAUUGCAGAUGAAUUACGGUGAAAGCCGUAAGCCGCAAGGCAUCUGUGAAGGUGCUGCAUGGUUGUCGUCAGCUCGUGCCGUGAGGUGUCGGCUUAAGUGCCAUAACGAGCGCAACCCUUGCCACUAGUUACUAACAGGUAAAGCUGAGGACUCUGGUGGGACUGCCAGCGUAAGCUGCGAGGAAGGCGGGGAUGACGUCAAAUCAGCACGGCCCUUACAUCCGGGGCGACACACGUGUUACAAUGGCGUGGACAAAGGGAAGCCACCUGGCGACAGGGAGCGAAUCCCCAAACCACGUCUCAGUUCGGAUCGGAGUCUGCAACCCGACUCCGUGAAGCUGGAUUCGCUAGUAAUCGCGCAUCAGCCAUGGCGCGGUGAAUACGUUC
rnacentral:rRNA from 1 species